UAUAGUAGGGGACCAGGAGAAAAGGU
rnacentral:piRNA from 1 species